AUUGAACGCUGGCGGCAGGCCUAACACAUGCACGUCGAACGAGUGGCGGACGGGUGAGUAAUGUCUGGGAAACUGCCCGAUGGAGGGGGAUAACUACUAGAAACGGUAGCUAAUACCGCCUACCAUCGGAUGUGCCCAGAUGGGAUUAGCUAGUAGGUGGGGUAAUGGCUCAACUAGGCGACGAUCCCUAGCUGGUCUGAGAGGAUGACCAUGCACACUGGAACUGAGAAACGGUCCAGACUCCUACGGGAGGCAGCAGGGGGGAAUAUUGCACAAUGGGCGAAAGCCUGAUGCAGCCAUGCCGCGUGGAUGAAGAAGGCCUUCGGGUUGUAAAGUACUUUCAGCGGGGAGGCGUUACUCGCAGAAGAAGCACCGGCUAACUCCGUGCCAGCAGCCGCGGUAAUUC
rnacentral:rRNA from 1 species